CGGUCCAGACUCCUACGGGAGGCAGCAGUAGGGAAUCUUCCGCAAUGGACGAAAGUCUGACGGAGCAACGCCGCGUGAGUGAAGAAGGUUUUCGGAUCGUAAAACUCUGUUGUAAGGGAAGAACAAGUACGUUAGUAACUGAACGUACCUUGACGGUACCGUGCCAGCAGCCGCGGUAA
rnacentral:rRNA from 1 species